rnacentral:rRNA from 1 species
UACGAAGGGUGCUAGCGUUGUUCGGAAUCACUGGGCGUAAAGCGCGCGUAGGCGGCGUGACAAGUCAGAGGUGAAAUCCCAAGGCUCAACCUUGGAAUUGCCUUUGAAACUGUCGCGCUAGAGUGUCGGAGGGGAUGGCGGAAUUCCUAAUGUAGAGGUGAAAUUCGUAGAUAUUAGGAGGAACACCGGUGGCGAAGGCGGCCAUCUGGACGACAACUGACGCUGAGGCGCGAAAGCGUGGGGAUCAAACAGG